AACUGCAACAAACUUGGAUUUUGCAAGUAAUUGCGAAUGAUUGCAAAUUGUGUUUACCAUUCCAAUUGUUACACAUUGCGUUUGUAAUGAAUUGUUUGAUCAUGGCAUGCUGCUACCAACACGCAAACACAUGUGUUUUUGAAACAGAGCAACAUGGAAUGUGAGAGUCAUGCUUGGUUUGCGCAUAUUGGGUACAGUGUGUGCCUUGUGAUUCACAUUCCUCGCCAUUGGAAUGCAAAUAAUCAUGGUAGUGUUCAUGAAGCAUCAUACUUGUUUGAGAUUCAUGAUGGGCAAGUACCAUGAGGGAAAUGUGAAAAGGACUUUGGAAAGAGAUUUAAACAGAGCUUACAAUUGUUGACCAUAUAUGCAAGUGAAGCAUAUUUGUGGAAUUUUGAAUAUUGUGAUUGGGUGUUCUGUUCAUGAUUGUUGUUCUUUUCCACUAUACAUUAUUGCUGCAUGCUUGCAUGUAAUACAUCUGUUAGUUCUACAAUUACUUYUGUUUGGAUUUACUCACAGGUUUGCUUAUGUGUGACAGUUCAUGCAACUACCCAUAUGUUCCAUGUGCGUAAGUGCUACUGCUUACAAAGCACAUAUGAUUUAUGUGACCGUGUGCAUUGUGAGUUCACCAUGGCUGAUUUAUGACAUCACUUGACCCGUCUUGAAACACGGACCAAGGAGUCUGGCAAGUGUGCUAGCAGAAUGAUGACAACCAUAAUGCAAUGAACAUAAUGGUUUGGACAUGUGCAACGCUUAUCAAGUGCUGGUUUGUGUGCAUUUGAAAGUGAGCAUUGUUGCCAGGACCCGAAAGAUGGUGAACUAUGCUUGCGUAAAAUGAAUUCAGAGGAAACUCUGAUGGAAGUUUGUAUCGGUACUGACGUGCAAAUCGUUCGUCAUAAGUG
rnacentral:rRNA from 1 species